rnacentral:snoRNA from 1 species
UUUUAAUGAUGAUAAAACCUUUAAAAAUAUUGACAUCGAAGAAAAUAAAAAAGGUUGAUUAACCGUGAUUUUUAUAAUGAUAGGACUGAUAA